AAACAUUUCUAUAAAGUAACCAGCGCAGUGUUCCAACACCAGAAGCAUAUGGAAGAAACAUAUAGACAAAGCUUUUAGCGGUAAAGAGAGGUGCAGCAGACCUUUGUUUAAUCGAAGCACGCUUCAUUGGGAAUUUUAACCAAUCAUGAACCAGCGGAGUAAGCUCAAUACAUAGCCAUGUAUAUGUUUCUCUGAAUAGUGAUCGAGUUUGUUUAUUAUUCUGCUAUGCGGCAUCACGUCAAGGACAGUGCAAUCAAAACUACCUCACAACUCAGAAUAAACGGCAAUUUCCCACCAAUGAAGAACUGACAUUCGAGCCAGAAUCAAGACACUUUCAUUGAAAUUUAGACAUCAACGAGGUAGAUAUGAAUACUCUUAUCAGUUUUCUCAGAUUCCAGACUUUAAACUAUCCUGUUUCCUGAAGAAGUAAAGUAUUUCUGAGAGUAUGGGUUUAUCCUACUUUGUUUCAUUUGGCUCAUAGAAUAUUGGCCAACCAGAGGUCAGAGUAAAAUGUGCUUACUCAAGGUGCAAUCAAGAUUGAAUACGGAACCUUAUAGCUACGAAAUAUGUUCUUAAAAUUGUAGUGCCACUCGAAAGCAAAUUCAAAAGCUUGCUCUCGUUGAGAGCCAUCUAACUCCAAGUCGACAAUGCAGAAUUUGAGCAAACCAAACAUUGCAAGACAGCCGUGCACCAUCUUUUUUCAGACUAAUCAGUAACUAACGCCUGAACCACGCUGAUACACGUCAAGGAAACGAAUAAACAAAGAAAUGUUAAGACACGCUAAUGCCAUCUUUCGAAUCAAUUAGUUAUUCGCAUCGAUGUUAUUUACAUCAUUCGUUGCCGGUGACACAGACUAAACAAACAGAUGAAAAACUGACAAGAAUUGCUAGAUCAUAAGAAGCAGAACAUUGACUUAUUCAAGAUGCUCCAGCAGUCAUCGAUGACCUUAAUUG